rnacentral:sRNA from 1 species
GGUAUUCCUUAUCUGUCUAAUGGUUUGUAUGGAGCCUGUCUUCCUGUACUCCAAAGCCGAAAUACACGAAGACAGGCUCGUCAGUUUAGUUGCCGCAAAAGU